UUGAUGGGCAGGAUCAUUUCUGUGACAGCCCAAACUAUCCUUCCUCCUGGGAGGUCCACGUCUGACCAAGAAGAGAAAAAAAUGCUUGAUCCGUCAAAUUCUGGAAGCACAGGCCCUUCCCAGGGUACACAAGCUUCUUCAUUCUGCAGGUCGGCAGGAUACUCUGACGUGUACAUGGCUGUAGAGGGAAGGAAAAGCCCACCCAUUGAACUGAAAUUCAGGACCUUUCAAAGCAUUGCCUGAACACUAAAAAACAAUAUUUUGGCUCCCCCUGGCUACUCACCAAAGUUCAUCGCCCUCCAAUCCACCUCUGAUUGGAAUGAUGCUGAUUUGAAAGAAGGAUCAGUCUAUGCCCCACCUAGAAUAACAUCCAGCUGAAGGCUCUCAUUGUCACCCUUUUCCCCAGCUCAGAGAAAGCAUGUGUGGAAGUAGGCGGAAUGUGCGGACUGUGAGUGAAGCACAAUUCUGCUGGAGCCCAGAGGCCAAGGCCGGAUGAAGCAGGGCUCAGGGUGGUGCGCACUCUGCAUUUGCCAAGGGUGCCAAAGGCUGCCUCUCUCUGGGAAGGGGGAGACGUGAGCGAACUGGGUUUGAGUUGCCCGCCUACCUCAAGGCUGCCGACACACAGUGGAAAGAUGUUCCACAGAGACACAAAAUGACCUUCUCCCAAUCAAAUCAAGUUAAAGAAACAAAAAAACCUGAUCCUUGCCUCUUCCUUCUAAACCAAAGCAAAGCCUCAGAAAAUAAGC